CCCAUCGUCUCUCUGCCUUCUUCACGAGCCAAUUCUGCAGUUUCUCCCCUCUUCAAUUAACUUCAACAUUUAUUCCCGUCCUGGCGGUCCUGCUAAUCUUCCUCCUGCGCCCUUCCAUCUCCCUCUGCAGCUUCUAGCCUCCCUGCUGUCCCUUCUUGCUCAAGCCCUUCAUCCAUCCACUCAUAUUCCACUUCAAUUCGAGCUCCGUGCUCUGCUGCAGCUGGGAUGGGGGGCCGAUCUCUUCCUCGGUCUAAUGGAGGAUCCUUGCAAGCUCCGAAGGAACAACUCCCUGCCUGCAGCACAUGGGAUCGAUCUGACGACUCUUCGUUUUGCUGAUGCUGAUGAGUACCGAUCUAGAGGCUGUCAGAUUGAACGUUUGUUCAUGGUCAUGGCUCACACCUGAUGGAGAUGUGUUGCCUUUCGGCGGAUUUUUUGCUGUUAUAGUCUCUGCUUGGAACUGGGGAGGCUUUAUCCUCCCUGUUGAUCUAAAAAAUUAUCCCACUUCAACGGUAUGGAUCUCGGCCUCUUGCAAAGUUGAUCUAAGUAAUUGGAAUUUUUCACAUGCGGCAUGGGAUCGGAUCGCUCAUAAUUUAUGGAAUGAUUUACUUCCUCGAUCAAGAUCUCUCAUAUAAGUGUAAUUUCUCAUGCGGCUUGGGUCAGGUAUGUAUUUACAUUAGUUCCCUAAAAUUGUUGAGUUUGGUUUUAAAGUUGAAAGCUCAUAAUUUAUGGAUCGAAUCAAUUUCUUUCUUGAUCAAGAUAUCCCUCAGAUAAAUUGAAAUUUCUGUUGCGACUUGGGUCAGGUAUGUACUUACGUUAGUUCCUUAAAACUGUACAAUUUGGUAGGUCACUAGGCCUAGAAUUCUCUUUGAUAGUUUCAGCAGCCGACUGAUUGCUAAUUGUUAAAGUUGGAAACUCUUCUUUCAACAGUUUGUUCCAUGUCUACAGCAUGUAUGUCAGCCCUUGCGGGAAUUUUUUCUUCAGCAAAAUUCUUUGUUGAGAUUGUCAUUUUGCGGAUUGAUAAAACUUUGCCAAAUCAUUCGGUUGAGAGAGUGCAAGCACUUCUCCCUAAUAUCUAUAAUUAUUUCGUGUGCGCAAUUUGUAUUAUGAUAUAAAUGGAUUUCAGGCCUUUAUCUCUCCAAUAAGUUGGUGCACAUAGACAUUAAUCCCAUGGAAUUGUAUGAUUUUAUUUAGUAAGUUUUUUUUAUUUUAGACAAUAGGCUUUACCCUCUGUUCCAUUUCAUCCAAAAAGAAACAACAUCGUUAGCAUUUAGUGAGUUUGCUGUUGAAAUAUUAGUGUAUGAUUUUUACGUC